rnacentral:rRNA from 1 species
GACGAACGCUGGCGGCGUGCUUAACACAUGCGAGUCGAACGGAACGGCACUGAUUUUGUGGGGUGCUCGAGUGGCGAACGGGUGAGUAACAGGUGAGUAUCCUGCUCUUGACUUUGGGAUAACUUCAGGAAACUGGGGCUACUCCCGGAUCGGAGAGCAUGUUGCAUGGUAGGGGGUGGAAAGUUUCGGCGGUGGGGGAUGGAUUCGCGGCUUAUCAGCUAGUUGGUGGGGGAGUGGCUUACCCAGGAUUUGACGGGUAGCCGGCCUGAGAGGGGGACCGGCCACAGUGGUACUGAGAGACGGCCCAGAGUCCUACGGGAGGCAGCAGUGGGGAAUAUUGCACAAUGGGCGCAAGCCUGAGGCGGCGACGCCGCGUGCGUGAAGACGGCCUGCGGGGUGUAAAACGCUUUCGCCUGUGACGAAGCUGGAGUGACGGUAAUGGGUAAAGAAGCACCGGCUAACUACGUG